CAGACUCUCCAAAGAGAAGCCAGGCCAAGAAGAAUCCCAGGACUGGAAGGCCUUGUGGGACGUCCCAGGGCAUUCAUCUACUAUGUGUUUAUUGCACCCUUUUUCCAUGUGAGGCACAUGCCAGGGACUGGGCACAUGGUAUGAACAAGACACAGGUCAUCGGUGUCCUCUUGAGCUCCCUGGCUUGGCAGCAGAUGCAUACCUGGGAAGGAUGCUAGGUCGUCCGGGAACUCUACCUCCUUCAAAUCCCUAAGGACUGUGCUCCCAAUCCGCUUACGCUCAAGGAAGAACUGCCUGGAAGCCCUCCCUGGUACCAUACCCCAGCCGAUGAGUAUGUACCCCCAGAAGUACUUCCGCUCAGAGAAGAAGGAGACGGCAAGCAGGGUGUACAG